UGAACUGACCUUUUCCAGAUACAACAUUUAUUCUGGACCACAAAAUUUAUUCAAGUGUGCAGCUUGAACCAUCACUACCAUUUUAGCAUAUGGACCAUGAAAGAAUCCUAUGCAGUACAAUUUGUGUACAAUGUAAAAGGAGUAAAAAUAUUAAACGCCAGCAGAAAUGUUGUAUCUGGAAAAGGUCAGUUCAUGUGGAAUCCUUGUCGAUAUCAACAGUAUCAAUAGGCUGGACAAAUAUCCUCCAAACUUCUUCCUAAGUACUCGAUGAUGUCACCAGUGAGAGUUGAUCUUUUCCUAUUCUCAAAAGCAAGUGAUGCAGCCUUCCUCAAUAAAGCAGACCCAGCAAUGCACCCUAACACUGUUGGAUUUGUUGGUCUGAUGGUCACAUUGCCUUCAGCAGCCAAGAUAUAUUGGCGAGCCCAAGAUAAAAAUACCGCAACACUUCCUGAAAGGAUAUCACCUUGACCCCCACAACGCCUAGGUGAACCAUAGAUGCUCACUGAUUUGACUAUCUCACCAUCAGUAAUAAGGUCAGAUUUUCCUUUCCGUAAGAUGGUUACACCCCCGAUCCUUCUGGAAAGAGAAAGUAAUUGCCCCUGAGUAUCUUGAUCAUUUACUUCACAAUUUAGAACUUUUUGAACCAAGCGCUUGUAUUCAUUCACAUUUGGGGUUAGAACAGCUAAGGGAUAACCACUAACUAGAUCAAUACUGUUUGUUACAAGAAAGAGUCCAUCCCCAUCUAAAACAAUUGGAACAUUUGACUGCCUUGCCUGCUUUAUAAUUUCACUCACACAGUCCAGAAGAAAUGGGUCCCUCCCAAGGCCAGGACCAACAACAAGACAAUCAAAUCUCUCCAUCCAUUUAUCAACCUCCGCAACAACCUUUCCUGAUAUGUAUUUUUUGUCCCCAUCCCCAAUACUAUAAGACUCUUCCAAAAUAGGGUGCACAAUCAACUCGGGACUAUAGCUUUUGAUAACCGGAGCAGCGUCUUUGGUACAGAAUACAUGGGACAAAUCAGCACCAAUUUUCAAAGCAGAAAUAGCAGCAAAAUAAGGGGCACCAGUGUACUCCCGACACCCACCAAUAACAGCAAUUUUCCCUGCCUGGCCCUUAUGUCUUGUUGGGUCAAGAGUUGGAGUAAUUGCUCUCAGGAUGUUCUCCGCCUCAGCCUCCAAAGGUUUAGUUUCUUGCAUUCUGUUCUGAGUGCAGAAAUUACUGUGAACUCCACCUCCAAGAGACCUUAUCAAGAAGUGCUGCCUUCUCAAAACCGCUGAGGAAGAUAAGGUACAAUUUCUUGCGCUGCUUAGUGAUGUUAGCUGACUCAUGCCAUGUUUUACGAACAUCACCAAACCCACCACCGUCCCUGUGAAAAAUGAGGCCAAGAUGAAAGAAAUGCCCACUGGAUUUUGAUCAACUGAAAUAUGAAUGAUGGUUU
rnacentral:misc_RNA from 1 species